rnacentral:misc_RNA from 1 species
ACGCCAGGAUAGCACCUCGACCACACUCGCACCCCCGUUUCCUUGAGAGACCAUUCUCUGCCUGCCUUAUAGAGCCUGCAAAGCCGUAUUGAUAUCACAUACACGCACACGCAUGGUGUGAGCGCGUGAGUGCUUGCCUGACAGUAGCCUUCGCCUCUUCUUCUUCAGCGUAUCAUCGUCCCCAGACUUAAUCGUAAAGACGGGUGCGCCGUGCGCACACACACACACCGCCCUGCCCCCCCCUCUCUCUCCAUCGCCAUGGCCGACGAACGAUUUGAUUCUAUGCUGCUCGCGAUUGCGCAGCAGCAGCAGGGCAUCGACGGCAUCCUUGACACCUUCUUCUCCUUUCUCAACCGCAAGACGGACUUCUUCACUCAGCCGGACAUGGCGCGCCGCAGCGUGCAGCAGGCCAUGAGUCGCUACCUGGCUGAAGCCGAGGAGAAGCAGCGCAAGGCGAAAGAAGCCCAGGCGGCCGCGCAGCAGCAGCAGCAGUCUGCGCGCACUUCUCGAGUGGAGGUCCUCGAGAGCGAGGAGGAGGUGAAUGCCGUGGCCGCCGCUCAGGCCGCAAAGGAGGCCGCACAGCGGAAGCAAGAGCUCGAGAGGGCGCAGCGCGAAGUCGCGGAGGCGAAGGCAAAGGAGGCAGCAAGGAACGAGGCGGAAACAGGCGCGACGGAGGCCUUUGCCGACACCGGCGAUGCCCCGCGCGGACUGCCGCCCACGGCUGCCAACGGCUUCGCCUAUGAAAAGUAUAUCUUUUCCCAGUCCCUGCAGGAGGCUGAGGUGCGCGUGCCGCUGCCGGCGGUAAACGUCAAGGGGAAGCAAGUGAGCAUCGUGAUCACGAGCAGCCACCUGACGGUGGGGAUGAAGGGGCAGCCGCCCAUCGUGGACGGAGAGCUGUACAGCAAGGUGCGCGCCGAGGAGUGCAUGUGGACCAUCGAAGACGGCCACACGGUCGUCGUGACGCUCUACAAGGUAAACUCGAUGGAGUGGUGGAAGACGAUCUUCCAAGGCGAUCCAGAGAUCGACCUGCAGAAGGUAAUGCCGGAGAACUCGAAGCUGGACGAUCUCGACAGCGACACCCGUCAGACGGUCGAGAAGAUGAUGUACGACCAGCGCCAGAAGAUGAUGGGCAAGCCAACCUCCGACGAGCAGAAGAAGCAGGAGAUGUUGCGCAAGUUCAUGGAGGCGCACCCCGAGAUGGACUUCUCGCAGGCGAAGUUCUGUUAAGUAGUUGUAUGCCCUCUCAGUCGCUCGCUCUCUGUUCGCCCCUUUUCCUUCGUUCCCCAACGCGAGCUGGAGGAGCCAUGAUAACAAGAUUGUGUGUGCAGUGCAACGGACACGCUACGUGUGUUUCCCCUCCCUCCCUACCCCCCCCACCCCACCCUUUUCUUUUUUCAUUUCAUGGAUGGCUCUGUCUGUGCGGACGCGGCGGCGAUAAAGUUGUCGUCUUUCUUUUGUCGUUUUCUAUUAUUGCCGAGGGUGUGCUGCGCCCUCGACCGGCGCCGCUCGUAACGGGGCUGCUGCCCCCUCCCACACCGUCUACUCCACUCACAGACGUGUAUGUGUUCACCAUUGCCCAAACACGCGCCUAUUUC